GUAGGUGGCAAGCGUUGUCCGGAAUUAUUGGGCGUAAAGCGCGCGCAGGUGGUUCUUUAAGUCUGAUGUGAAAGCCCCCGGCUCAACCGGGGAGGGUCAUUGGAAACUGGGGAACUUGAGUGCAGGAGAGGAAAGUGGAAUUCCACGUGUAGCGGUGAAAUGCGUAGAUAUGUGGAGGAACACCAGUGGCGAAGGCGACUUUCUGGCCUGUAACUGACACUGAGGCGCGAAAGCGUGGGGAGCAAACAGGGAUUAGAUACCCUGGUAGUCCACGCCGUAAACGAUGAGUGCUAAGUGUUGGGGGGGUUUCCCGCCCCUCCGUGCUGCAGCUAACGCAUUAAGCACUCCGCCUGGGGAGUACGGUCGCAAGACUG
rnacentral:rRNA from 1 species